GGGGAUUUAGCUCAGUGACAUAAGCGCCUGCCUUGCAAGCAGGCGUGAGUUCAAUCCCCC
rfam:Cavia porcellus supercont2_6 genomic scaffold, whole genome shotgun sequence.